GAAAGUGUUUUGAGGUACAUCCAUUCAUCAAAUUCUUAUAUAUAUAUAGCUGAAUUGAACUUGAAUCAUGUCAUGACAUUAACAUAUUGACAUGCAGGGAAUGUGUACAAUUUUGUUUGUUGGCCAUCUACAAAAUGUGUGGACUAUAUGACUACCUUUACAGUGAUGUUUGGUUUUCAUAUAGUACAGUACUUAUUUGACUGCCUCACUGUUAUAUUAUUAUUGUUUUAAUCAAGGGUAUUUCUUAGCUUUGAGUCAGAAACAAUAGCUUUUUAAAGAGAGAACAUUUUUAAUGGAUAUCAUCAUGAAAACAGAAAAUCUGACUACAUGGUUAAGAAGGGUAGUUAUCUGGUGAGCUAGAGAAAAAAAAUGGAGGGGAAGUUGGAUGCUACCAAUGCUUUUUUUCUUUAGGAAAAAGGUCUCACCCUAGAAGCGAUAACCGUAGACAUAAAGUGCAGAGGCUUAUGAAAACCUGGAGAAAAAGGGUUCAGCUUUGGAGAUAUUGAACUGGCAUGUUUAUUAUUUCUUGACUCUUCAUCAAAAAUUAGUGUGUGUGCUUGUGUGACACCUACUGACCUAAGUCUAUUAAUUAAAUACUACUUAGGCUAAUCUUAGGCAUGGUGAUUUUUGUGAGAGAGCUAGAAGCUAAGCUGACUCACAUAUAUUAUUAUAUUAUUUUACUGUUUCAAGUCAAUUCAAUGCAAUAUGAAAUGGUCCACUUAA